rnacentral:rRNA from 1 species
AGUGAACGCUGGCGGUAGGCCUAACACAUGCAAGUCGAACGGCAGCACAGUAAGAGCUUGCUCUUACGGGUGGCGAGUGGCGGACGGGUGAGGAAUACAUCGGAAUCUACUUUUUCGUGGGGGAUAACGUAGGGAAACUUACGCUAAUACCGCAUACGACCUACGGGUGAAAGCAGGGGAUCUUCGGACCUUGCGCGAUUGAAUGAGCCGAUGUCGGAUUAGCUAGUUGGCGGGGUAAAGGCCCACCAAGGCGACGAUCCGUAGCUGGUCUGAGAGGAUGAUCAGCCACACUGGAACUGAGACACGGUCCAGACUCCUACGGGAGGCAGCAGUGGGGAAUAUUGGACAAUGGUCGCAAGCCUGAUCCAGCCAUACCGCGUGGGUGAAGAAGGCCUUCGGGUUGUAAAGCCCUUUUGUUGGGAAAGAAAAGCAGCAGGUUAAUACCCCGCUGUUCGGACGGUACCCAAAGAAUAAGCACCGGCGAACUGCGU